rnacentral:rRNA from 1 species
GGGUUGUGAGGUUAAGCGACUAAGCGUACACGGUGGAUGCCCUGGCAGUCAGAGGCGAUGAAGGACGUGCUAAUCUGCGAUAAGCGUCGGUGAGGUGAUAUGAACCGUUAUAACCGGCGAUUUCCGAAUGGGGAAACCCAGUGUGUUUCGACACACUAUCAUUAACUGAAUCCAUAGGUUAAUGAGGCGAACCGGGGGAACUGAAACAUCUAAGUACCCCGAGGAAAAGAAAUCAACCGAGAUUCCCCCAGUAGCGGCGAGCGAACGGGGAGGAGCCCAGAGCCUGAAUCAGUGUGUGUGUUAGUGGAAGCGUCUGGAAAGGCGUGCGAUACAGGGUGACAGCCCCGUACACAAAAAUGCACAUAUUGUGAGCUCGAUGAGUAGGGCGGGACACGUGGUAUCCUGUCUGAAUAUGGGGGGACCAUCCUCCAAGGCUAAAUACUCCUGACUGACCGAUAGUGAACCAGUACCGUGAGGGAAAGGCGAAAAGAACCCCGGCGAGGGGAGUGAAAAAGAACCUGAAACCGUGUACGUACAAGCAGUGGGAGCCUCUUAAUGGGGUGACUGCGUACCUUUUGUAUAAUGGGUCAGCGACUUAUAUUCUGUAGCAAGGUUAACCGAAUAGGGGAGCCGAAGGGAAACCGAGUCUUAACUGGGCGUUAAGUUGCAGGGUAUAGACCCGAAACCCGGUGAUCUAGCCAUGGGCAGGUUGAAGGUUGGGUAACACUAACUGGAGGACCGAACCGACUAAUGUUGAAAAAUUAGCGGAUGACUUGUGGCUGGGGGUGAAAGGCCAAUCAAACCGGGAGAUAGCUGGUUCUCCCCGAAAGCUAUUUAGGUAGCGCCUCGUGAAUUCAUCUCCGGGGGUAGAGCACUGUUUCGGCAAGGGGGUCAUCCCGACUUACCAACCCGAUGCAAACUGCGAAUACCGGAGAAUGUUAUCACGGGAGACACACGGCGGGUGCUAACGUCCGUCGUGAAGAGGGAAACAACCCAGACCGCCAGCUAAGGUCCCAAAGUCAUGGUUAAGUGGGAAACGAUGUGGGAAGGCCCAGACAGCCAGGAUGUUGGCUUAGAAGCAGCCAUCAUUUAAAGAAAGCGUAAUAGCUCACUGGUCGAGUCGGCCUGCGCGGAAGAUGUAACGGGGCUAAACCAUGCACCGAAGCUGCGGCAGCGACACUAUGUGUUGUUGGGUAGGGGAGCGUUCUGUAAGCCUGUGAAGGUGGCCUGUGAGGGUUGCUGGAGGUAUCAGAAGUGCGAAUGCUGACAUAAGUAACGAUAAAGCGGGUGAAAAGCCCGCUCGCCGGAAGACCAAGGGUUCCUGUCCAACGUUAAUCGGGGCAGGGUGAGUCGACCCCUAAGGCGAGGCCGAAAGGCGUAGUCGAUGGGAAACAGGUUAAUAUUCCUGUACUUGGUGUUACUGCGAAGGGGGGACGGAGAAGGCUAUGUUGGCCGGGCGACGGUUGUCCCGGUUUAAGCGUGUAGGCUGGUUUUCCAGGCAAAUCCGGAAAACCAAGGCUGAGGCGUGAUGACGAGGCACUACGGUGCUGAAGCGACAAAUGCCCUGCUUCCAGGAAAAGCCUCUAAGCAUCAGGUAACAUCAAAUCGUACCCCAAACCGACACAGGUGGUCAGGUAGAGAAUACCAAGGCGCUUGAGAGAACUCG